UUCCGAAUGUCCGACGGAAACUAACCGAGUUUUUCACGUUUUCAGUAAAGAUCAGAAUCAACCAUGCCGCCGAAAUUCACAAAAAAAACUAUCGGAAAAGGCUCCAGUUGGGGAAUAACAUCAUUCAUAAUGGACUUUUAUAGAGACCCUACAAAAUGGCAAUUGGUGAAGCACACAGGGAUUUUUAUUUUUGCAGUUAUGGCUGUUAGGGAAUUUUCAGACAUUGACCUGAUGGCUCCACCUCAACCCCAAUAAGAGACUUUGACAAGAAUCAUUAGGCCCUCUUGGCUGCAGUUCUAUCUAUUGAAUGCUGGAGAGCCAGAAAACAUAGAUGACGAAAUAAAUUUAAAGAGCACAAGAAUACUUUUAAAAUUGAAAAGUGUUGAUGUUGAAUGGGGAAGUGUUGAAAGAUUUUUUUUAAAAGAAAACUGCAUGGUUGUAUAUGUUUUUUUUUUCUGUUUUGAUCCGCAACUUGUUGUAGAAAUGAUGUCAAUAUUGUUCAAUAUUUGUAUUAAAGAGUUCCCUGCA